rnacentral:rRNA from 1 species
GCAACCCUCAUCCUUAGUUACCAACAGGUAAUGCUGGGCACUCUAAGGAAACUGCCAGUGAUAAACUGGAGGAAGGUGGGGAUGAUGUCAAAUCAGCACGGCCCUUAUAAGGUGGGCUACACACGUGCUACAAUGGCAACUACAAUAGGUUGCGAGACCGCAAGGUUUAGCUAAUCCAUAAAAGUUGUCUCAGUUCGGAUUGUUCUCUGCAACUCGAGAGCAUGAAGUCGGAAUCGCUAGUAAUCGUGGAUCAUCACGCCACGGUGAAUACGUUCUCGGGUCUUGUACACACUGCCCGUCACGCCAUGGGAAUUGGCUUAACUCGAAGCUGGUGUGCUAACCGCAAGGAAGCAGCCAUUUAAGGUUGGGUCAGUGACUAGGGUGA